rnacentral:rRNA from 1 species
CAGUCGAGGGGCAGCAUGGUCUUAGCUUGCUAAGGCUGAUGGCGACCGGCGCACGGGUGAGUAACACGUAUCCAACCUGCCGUCUACUCUUGGCCAGCCUUCUGAAAGGAAGAUUAAUCCAGGAUGGGAUCAUGAGUUCACAUGUCCGCAUGAUUAAAGGUAUUUUCCGGUAGACGAUGGGGAUGCGUUCCAUUAGAUAGUAGGCGGGGUAACGGCCCACCUAGUCAACGAUGGAUAGGGGUUCUGAGAGGAAGGUCCCCCACAUUGGAACUGAGACACGGUCCAAACUCCUACGGGAGGCAGCAGUGAGGAAUAUUGGUCAAUGGGCGAUGGCCUGAACCAGCCAAGUAGCGUGAAGGAUGACUGCCCUAUGGGUUGUAAACUUCUUUUAUAAAGGAAUAAAGUCGGGUAUGCAUACCCGUUUGCAUGUACUUUAUGAAUAAGGAUCGGCUAACUCCGUGCCAGCAGCCGCGGUAAUACGGAGGAUCCGAGCGUUAUCCGGAUUUAUUGGGUUUAAAGGGAGCGUAGAUGGAUGUUUAAGUCAGUUGUGAAAGUUUGCGGCUCAACCGUAAAAUUGCAGUUGAUACUGGAUGUCUUGAGUGCAGUUGAGGCAGGCGGAAUUCGUGGUGUAGCGGUGAAAUGCUUAGAUAUCAUGAAGAACUCCGAUUGCGAAGGCAGCCUGCUAAGCUGCAACUGACAUUGAGGCUCGAAAGUGUGGGUAUCAAACAGGAUUAGAUACCCUGGUAGUCCACACGGUAAACGAUGAAUACUCGCUGUUUGCGAUAUACGGCAAGCGGCCAAGCGAAAGCGUUAA